rnacentral:rRNA from 1 species
GAUGAACGCUGGCGGCGUGCCUAAUACAUGCAAGUCGAGCGAACAGACGAGGAGCUUGCUCCUCUGACGUUAGCGGCGGACGGGUGAGUAACACGUGGAUAACCUACCUAUAAGACGGGGAUAACUUCGGGAAACCGGAGCUAAUACCGGAUAAUAUAUUGAACCGCAUGGUUCAAUGGUGAAAUACGGUUUUGCUGUCACUUAUAGAUGGAUCCGCGCCGCAUUAGCUAGUUGGUAAGGUAACGGCUUACCAAGGCAACGAUGCGUAGCCGACCUGAGAGGGUGAUCGGCCACACUGGAACUGAGACACGGUCCAGACUACUACGGGAGGCAGCAGUAGGGAAUCUUCCGCAAUGGGCGAAAGCCUGACGGAGCAACGCCGCGUGAGUGAUGAAGGUCUUCGGAUCGUAAAACUCUGUUAUUAGGGAAGAACAAAUGUGUAAGUAACUAUGCACGUCUUGACGGUACCUAAUCAGAAAGCCACGGCUAACUACGUG